rnacentral:rRNA from 1 species
AGAUUAAACAUAAGAGUUUGAUCCUGGCUCAGAUUGAACGCUGGCGGCAUGCUUUACACAUGCAAGUCGAACGGCAGCACGGAGAGCUUGCUCUCUGGUGGCGAGUGGCGAACGGGUGAGUAAUGCAUCGGAACGUACCGAGUAAUGGGGGAUAACUGUCCGAAAGGAUGGCUAAUACCGCAUACGCCCUGAGGGGGAAAGCGGGGGAUCUUAGGACCUCGCGUUAUUUGAGCGGCCGAUGUUGGAUUAGCUAGUUGGUGGGGUAAAGGCCUACCAAGGCGACGAUCCAUAGCGGGUCUGAGAGGAUGAUCCGCCACAUUGGGACUGAGACACGGCCCAAACUCCUACGGGAGGCAGCAGUGGGGAAUUUUGGACAAUGGGGGGAACCCUGAUCCAGCCAUGCCGCGUGUCUGAAGAAGGCCUUCGGGUUGUAAAGGACUUUUGUUAGGGAAGAAAAGCUGGGUGCUAAUACCAUCUAGUGCUGACGGUACCUAAAGAAUAAGCACCGGCUAACUACGUGCCAGCAGCCGCGGUAAUACGUAGGGUGCGAGCGUUAAUCGGAAU